AGAUUAAAGCUGAUCUCACAGACGAGGGACAAGAAACUUUCCUUCUGUACAUCUACAGUGGAGCGUAUCCUGACCGGUUGCACCACAGCCUGCUUUAACGUGCAUUCCUCUGUCCGGUUUUAAGAGCUGAUGAGCUUCUGUGAUUGGUGCACAGCAGAGCAAAGGCACCUAGCUAAACCAGGAAAUAUUGAUCCAAAAUUAAAGACUGGCCAGAACACCAGCAAACCUACCUUGUUGUUCCUCAAAAUUAUGCCAAGGGAUUACCUGGAUCUACAAGUCCAUCCAAGAGAACUGACAAAACCGUGGUUUAACAUCCCCUCUUGUAAGUAGUGCCUUGGACAGGAUCAUCCACCCCCAGUUCUACAUUCCACUACCAGCGCAGAAUUUGUAUUCAAGAUUCUUACUUGGGCAAAGAAAUGGUAAAUGAAAUCCGUCAAGCCUUUUGUGUGGAUGAUCAUGUAAUCAAAUAAACUUUCCUGCAAUCUGGAUCAUGCGUACGUACAAAUAAUUUUCACUCCUGAGUAAAUUAGUUCAAGUACCUAGUGUGCAGUAUGAAUAAAUAUCUUCACUUAGCUGUUCCCUGGAUCAGUUCCCCAACACCAUAAAGCCUAAUGAAUGUUCAAUGUCUAACUGUAAAAAGCAUUGAUAGUCUGGCACAUGCUGUUAGAGUGAUUUUUGGGUUUAGGUCAUUUACAUUUAGCAAAUGGCUUUGGCAACCAGUCUUCUGUCUUUGAACAUGUAUUGUGGAUUUUAUUCCUAAAAGCUGUGAAUCUCAGACCAAUCAAUGCUGAUUAAAAUUCAUUUGGAUGGCUCUGGUGUGUGUGUGAAGAGGGAGGUGUGAAGUUCAUAUGUGAUUUCAAAGAAAGCAUUGUCUAUACUUUGUAAAUAUGGAAUUGUCCUUUGAUUUGUCGGCACAUAAAAUAUCGAGC